rnacentral:rRNA from 1 species
GAUGAACGCUGGCGGCGUGCCUAAUACAUGCAAUUCGAGCGAACAGAUGAGGAGCUUGCUCCUUUGACGUUAGCGGCGGACGGGUGAGUAACACGUGGGUAACCUACCUAUAAGACUGGGAUAACUUCGGGAAACCGGAGCUAAUACCGGAUAAUAUUUCGAACCGCAUGGUUCGAUAGUGAACGAUGGCUUUGCUAUCACUUAUAGAUGGACCUGCGCCGUAUUAGCUAGUUGGUAAGGUAACGGCUUACCAAGGCAACGAUACGUGGCCGACCUGAGAGGGUGAUCGGCCACACUGGAACUGAGACACGGUCCAGACUCCUACGGGAGGCAGCAGUAGGGAAUCUUCCGCAAUGGGCGAAAGCCUGGCGGAGCAACGCCGCGUGAGUGAUGAAGGUCUUCGGAUCGUAAAACUCUGUUAUUAGGGAAGAACAAACGUGUAAGUAACUGUGCACGUCUUGACGGUACCUAAUCAGAAAGCCACGGCUAACUACGUGCCAGCAGCCGCGGUAAUACGUAGGUGGCAAGCGUUAUCCGGAAUUAUUGGGCGUAAAGCGCGCGUAGGCGGUUUCUUAAGUCUGAUGUGAAAGCCCACGGCUCAACCGUGGAGGGUCAUUGGAAACUGGAAAACUUGAGUGCAGAAGAGGAAAGUGGAAUUCCAUGUGUAGCGGUGAAAUGCGCAGAGAUAUGGAGGAACACCAGUGGCGAAGGCGACUUUCUGGUCUGUAACUGACGCUGAUGUGCGGAAGCGUGGGGAUCAAACAGGAUUAGAUACCCUGGUAGUCCACGCCGUAAACGAUGAGUGCUAAGUGUUAGGGGGUUUCCGCCCCUUAGUGCUGCAGCUAACGCAUUAAGCACUCCGCCUGGGGAGUACGACCGCAAGGUUGAAACUCAAAGGAAUUGACGGGGACCCGCACAAGCGGUGGAGCAUGUGGUUUAAUUCGAAGCAACGCGAAGAACCUUACCAAAUCUUGACAUCCUUUGACCCUUCUAGAGAUAGAAGUUUCCCCUUCGGGGGACAAAGUGACAGGUGGUGCAUGGUUGUCGUCAGCUCGUGUCGUGAGAUGUUGGGUUAAGUCCCGCAACGAGCGCAACCCUUAAGCUUAGUUGCCAUCAUUAAGUUGGGCACUCUAAGUUGACUGCCGGUGACAAACCGGAGGAAGGUGGGGAUGACGUCAAAUCAUCAUGCCCCUUAUGAUUUGGGCUACACACGUGCUACAAUGGACAAUACAAAGGGCAGCGAAACCGCGAGGUCAAGCAAAUCCCAUAAAGUUGUUCUCAGUUCGGAUUGUAGUCUGCAACUCGACUACAUGAAGCUGGAAUCGCUAGUAAUCGUAGAUCAGCAUGCUACGGUGAAUACGUUCCCGAGUCU